UAGUCCACGCUGUAAACGAUGAGUGCAAGGUGUUGGGGGUCAAACCCCGGUGCCGCCGUUAACACAGUAAGCACUCCGCCUGGGGAGUACGUACGCAAGUAUGAAACUCAAAGGAAUUGACGGGGACCCGCACAAGCAGCGGAGCAUGUGGUUUAAUUCGAAGCAACGCGAAGAACCUUACCAAGGCUAGACAUUUUGUGGACCGGUCUAGAGAUAGACCCUUUCUACGGAACCGCAAAAC
rnacentral:rRNA from 1 species